UGAUAAUUCUGUUGGUCUAGCUUCAUGACAAUUCAAUCAUAUGGUAAAUAUACAAAUGGCAAUAAGGAAAGUUCAUUUGUGAAGAAAAAUACUACCAGUGGGUUGUAGUGAUGAUACUCAAUUAUAUAUGACAGAAAGUUGUGAAAUUAUUUAUUACAUAGAGCUUGAGUAAAAUGAUGGACAGACUUAGUAGACUUCAUACUCUAGGAAGUCAGGUGAGAUACUCAAUUCAGUAGAUAGAAGGUUGUACAAGGUUGAAGUGUAUAGGUUCAUUGUAAAGACUAACAUAAUAAUUACAAACUGUAAGUAUGAGAAGCAAGUUGAACAACAUUUUA